rnacentral:rRNA from 1 species
CCUACGGGCGGCAGCAGUGAGGAAUAUUGGUCAAUGGGCGGAAGCCUGAACCAGCCAAGUCGCGUGAGGGAUUAAGGCCCUGCGGGUCGUAAACCUCUUUUGCCGGGGAGCAGUGGUCCGGACGCGUCCGGACCGGGAGAGUACCCGGAGAAAAAGCAUCGGCUAACUCCGUGCCAGCAGCCGCGGUAAUACGGAGGAUGCGAGCGUUAUCCGGAUUUACUGGGGGUAAAGGGAGGGUAGACGGCAGCACAAGUCUGAAGUGAAAUGCCGGGGCUUAACCCCGGAACUGCUUUGGAAACUGUGCAGCUAGAGUGCAGGAGAGGUAAGUGGAAUGCCUGGUGUAGCGGUGAAAUGCGUAGAUAUUAGGAGGAACACCAGUGGCGAAGGCGGCUUACUGGACUGUAACUGACGUUGAGGCUCGAAAGCGUGGGGAGCAAACAGGAUUAGAUACCCUAGUAGUC